ACACUAACGAAGUUUUCUAACACUUUCAACACAAGGUCAAAACGACCUUUCAAAGAAGUGUGCUGUUCUGUAUUUUUUAAGAAAAAUAGAUGAAGCAGAAUAUGCCAAGUCCUCCGAAUUCAUGGAGUGUCCUUAAGGAAAUUAUUCCCCUUAAGCAUCCGAGGUUGCAAAAUUUUUCUCCCAGGAUAAAAUGGCUUAACAACUUGACAGUAGCGGUACCUCAAACGAUCGAAUUCUCUUCUAACUCACUCAACAGGAGAUGAUCGCACGGAGUAUUUUAGAAGACAAGAAGUGUUUGUAAAUCAGAAAUUUUUUCGUUAUUAAACCUGUGGAAAAAUGCAGGUUUAUAUAGCCAUGAAGUGCCCCUUCUGAAAGGUGGCAAUGGUUCAUCGAAAAGGUGUAUCUUUUUUGAAUUGUCAUAUCUGUCCAUUUGAAACAGUGUUUCUUUUCCGUACAGCCAAAACCAUCCAAACUUACUCAAAGAGUUGUGUCUCUUCCGAGCAGCUUUCAGCAUCGUUUCUGCAUGCAGAAGCAUGCACCUUAACGGAGGAGCAAAACUAUUGCGUUUUUUCUUCGGAUUUUCGGACUGGAUUUCUUCCCAAGUUUCAAAUAAAUUUUAUUCAAAAAGAUUAAUCUCAUUGAUCGAUUAUUUUUCAAAUUCGAAGUUGAGCGAUCAACAACAAUGGCGCGACACACCUUUUAGUUCUUGUCUCACUUACCAAGUGAAAAUGUGUUUCUCAAUAUAAACACAUGAAAGUUUCUUUCGCCCAUCAAUAUAAGAGAAUUUAGUAGACUUUCUUCAUUUUGAGCACACUUUCCAUUUUAGUGUGGACUCACUUUCCCUCUACUAUGUUCCCUCCAUUUUCCAUUUACACGUUUAACUUGACCCAACAAAAACAACUACUAUGUCCCAUUGCUAUUACAGGAGAGAUUCUUAACUUUUAAAAGAGAAAAACAAAACAAAAUGAAAUAAAGUAACUUUGAAUUAAAAUAUGAUAGUGUCAAAUAUGCCUGACAGUAAAUACAUUCAUACGAACAACACCAGAAACAAAAAUUAUAGAGAGAUUAAAAUCUUAUUAAGUACAAAUUUGGAAGAACUAACUAUAUAUUAUAAACGUCUAACGAAAAAUAUAUAUUUCUAUAAUGUAUUCACCAUGCAUUAAAAGGAACAUAAAUGAAUGAAUAUGAUUCAUAAGUACCUGUCAUUCUUAUUGUGGUCCUCCUUGAG
rnacentral:lncRNA from 1 species